rnacentral:lncRNA from 1 species
CAUUGCUGAGUCUAUCCUUGCUCAGGGAUGAGCAAGAGGUAAGCUUGGGGGAGUUUGUUGACGGUCCUUAAGUAUCAAAUUUAAUUAUCAAAUAAACAAAGAAAAGGAUCCAAAUGAAAUCAACAUCUAGACUUAGGGUUUUAUCUGACAGAAUUCCACGAGUUUUGGUGUUUGUCUAUUUCUGCAGGGGGUUAUCAGGAAAUAAGGAAGAAAGGCCCACAUGUCAGGAUUACAUAGAGAUAUCAACACACCGCGCAAUUUUCUACCAUCUAGAAGACUCCAGAAGCCACGAGACUGAAGCGGAGGCGAAACGGGGCCAGGACCUUGGCGCCCGCCCACCUGCCGAGCCCAAUUAGGACUCUUUCUCUCGGGAGAUCUCCACCGACCUAUUGGAUCAAGAAAAACAUAGUACCACCUCGCCUAUCAACCCAAAAACACAUUGAAGGGGAGGACUAUAUAAGGAGACCCCCCUGGCCCUGGAGAAGACAUGAAGAAAUUAUCAUAGAGAUUGAGGGGUGC